UUGGGAACGACAAACCUGAUGAGGGUGAAGGGUAGGUUGAAGUGCAUCAUAGCAGAGAGGUGAGAGAAAGAGAGCACAGACCUGGCUGAAGAGAUGGGGGAUCAGAAAAAGCAUUCUUCAGAUGCCUUCUUGUCCCGGCUCAGAACACCCCAAAGCUCAGAGGAACAGGACUGGGUUCACAAGGAAGAACAGGGAAGCUGUCUGGGCUAUCAACACUCUUCAGUGUCUUGGAAUCAACCCAGCAUGUCCUGCUGCUGCUGCUUUCUGCCUCUGCUAGCUUGGAUCCGGUAGGAAGAACAGAGUUUUACAUUCCUUCAGUGAGUAAUUGACAAAGCUCCACACCAGGUGUGAGUGGGGGGGUGGGGAGGCUCAUAUUUGCUCCUCCCCUGACUUCUUCCCCACCCUCCCUCCUUCUAGGCACACCAGGGAUUUGUUCAUCAGGGCUGAUCUUGAAUGGUGGAGAUAGAUUCAAGCCAUUUUGAGCCCAGGUCCAGGGUAAACAAGUAACAGAAUCCUGUAGGCUGUUACAUUUGUUGUUUUAAAAAGACUUGGUACAUUAUUUGUAAGGGAGUGCCGUGGGAAGUAAAAUAGUUCUUUCAGCUGGCAGGCAUGCCUAUCUGUCAUGAUACUUAAAAAAAAUUAAACUUAUGGCCUAAUUCCAAUCAGAGAGGUUUCAGAUAUUUAAUAAUCUCAUUUGUUACAGUUUCUCCAAAAGCAUUUGUUUUUGUUAAGUUUUAAAAUCAAUCUUCUCCAUUCACCCUAAUUGGGAGUUACAAAGACAUUUUAAAUUGUAAAAUCAUUCUAUAUCCAUUGUAUACAGUUAGGGAAAUAUAAAAAAUAAUUACAAAUAAACUAAACAUCCAUCAUUCUAGAAAUGAAUACUGUUAACAUUUAAGCAUAUUUCCUCCCUGUCUUUUUUUCUUGCUGUUUUACAUAAUGGAGAUUUUAAAAGAUAAAAAGCUUUGUAUUUUUUCCUAGUAUUAUGUCAUAGGAGUGGCUCUAGGUUAUUAAACAUUCUUCAAAAACUCAAUUUUUAAAGUUUGCUUAGUAUGUCUUCUUAUAGCUAUAAUAUGAUUUGCUUGUUUCCCUAAUGUUGAUUGAGUAUUAGGCUGUUUCCAAUUUUUUGAGGUUAAAAAAAACACUACCGUGAAUAUCUUUGUGUGUGUGUGUGUGUGUGUGUGUGUGUGUUUGUGUGUGUUUUAGUAUAGGUAUGACAGUAGGCGAUCUGGCUACAUUCUGUUGCCUAUUUUAGAUGGGGAUAGGACUGCCCCCUUGCCAUUAUGAAUGACAGCUGUCAGCCAAAGAGAGGGCUGCGCUAGAGACUGUCAAUCUGGCUCCUGGGAGAAGGGAUAACACUCAGCACAGGAAUGUUGUAAACACGUUAGGGAGGUCUUGCAAUUCCACUUUGAAAUGGAGGAACCUAAACUACAAUCCAUUUUCACAUGAGGUCGGGUUUGUUCAGGGUGGUAUGGCCAUAGAUAACAAUCCAUUUUCAAAGGAAACAGAGGUUUUCAAAAAGCCUUUUGAAUGGACUGGGCUAGUAUUGUGUGAUUUUUAAAUUAAAUUACACAUGUUAAAAAUGGGCGAUCUAAUGAAAUAGAGAAUAGAGGUUACUUUGAAUGAUAAACUAGUAGGAAUAGUAUUCGUGAAGUUCCAGGCAGGCUGACUUCCUUGGUGAGUUCACCGGGGUGACAGGACGAGUGUUGGAGUUGGCAAAGCAGAAUUCUAAUACCAGCUGGGCCAUAUUGGGCAGGUUGCUUGAUGUCUCUGAGCCUCAGAUUCCCCACUAACAAAAUGAGGCUGAUAAUGACACUAAUAUUUCUCACCUGCAGUUUGUUGUUGAGAGGAUUUAAACACCAAGGGAGGAUCAGUAAAUGGCAGCUAAGGCUGUGCCCUAAGGGAUGGCUGAGGCUUGUUCUUAACCCAGAAUUCAAAAUAGGCCUGCCUGACCUCAGGACAGCGCAACACAAGAGACUUGCACGUACAGAACAUGGAUGUAAAGAGGGAAUCCUGGGUUAUAGUUUCAGAAUCCACUGUGGGGAUCUUAAACCCUCUCUCUUCAGCCUUUAAUAAAUGAUUUAAUUUGCACACUGGACAGUUCAACACUAUUUUUUUUUUUUUUUUUUUUUUGCCCCAGCCUGUGAAAAGGGACGGGGUUGGGCUAAGGCAACGUUGAAACAUUGCAUUCCUCUGCCAGAAGCUUAAAAACCCUGCAAUCAAACCCGAGGCCCUAUGCGGAAACAAGUGUAUCCGAUGACAGCUUAUUAUGGAAGGUUCUGAACUUCUAAGAAUUCCUUAGUAGGAGACAAACAAAAUACAAAGAUAUCCUCCUAAUUUUCUGCGACUGGGAAUUUUUGUUUUUCUCUUCCUCACUUCUCCCAUCCAUUCUGCAUGUUUGUUAAAAUGUAGGCACACAGGGUCCACGGUGUGUGGUACUUGAGUGGGCAAAAGGCUAGUUCAGCUGGCCAGCGAGGCAGACAAGACGUGGUUCAACACACGCAUUGCUGGGAGCUGGGACUUCUCCUUCAUUAGUUAAACAUGGGCAUGAAGUAAAGAUUUCUGGUGUGUGUGUCUGUGUGUUUUCAAACGGCAGGUUCAGCACUUCUAAGUACAUAGCAUGAUAGGAAGAGAAGUCUGUAAUCACCUCUCAUGUCUGGGGUCCUGAUGGGCCCAGAGCAGAUUUGAUUUACGUUAUCUUCAAGCGGGAAACUUGUCAUCCAGUCUUCAUUUGCCCUUCUCUCUGGGCAGGAAAGAGCUCCAUUUUUCCCGCUCCACAGAGGACAUUUUAUUUUUGCAGUUCUUUGAAGUGCCCUCAGAGAUCUAAGCACCAGGCUGAAGGCAGCUCUGUGUAUCCUUGCAACAGAUUAGAACAUAUUCACAUUUUAUUUGCUCACAGAACAAAUAUUUCCCUUGGAAUGAGACCGAGGCAGUGGAGCAGGACCAGGCAGGACCAGCCACCAAAGACGGCCCCCCAGGCCCCAUGCUGGGCCUGCUCAGCGCCUGCACAAUUGGUUCCACAUAAUUGCUUCUCCACACUCACCUCAUUUAGGCCCUAUAGACACAUAUGGGCUGAUUAGUUGAGUCAUUUAUUGAUUCAGGAAUAUUUGUCGAGCCUCAACAAUGUACCAAACACUAUGCUGGUUACAGAAAUAAAGAGAGAAACACAUUCUGUCCUCAAGGGGCUCCUAAUCAAGUAGGGGAGAGAAGCAAUGUCUGUAUAUUAAUGAAUCAAAUCAAGGUGACAAAGAUAAGGCUUCAGAACCCAGGAGACAAAGUGUUUGAGGCCGAAGCUCCCUAGCGCUGGGGCCUCCACUCUGGGAAGGGCCCUGUGGGUGAAUCUCUGAGCGUUUACUGGGCUCCUUCUCUACCUGGGCUGCCGCACCCAGAACAGUUCUUAGAGUUUCCAGCCUCCUGAGCUCGCGGAAUAGCAAAGAAGAAUCAGAAAUGUUUCAAAUACAGCUAAGACCGUCUUUGGUUCCACCCAACACUUUCUCCUCAUGAGUGAUGGUAAUGUCCUGAUGAAUUUCUGCUUGGAAACAACUGGACUCAGUCAGUUGAGAAAUGACAGAGCUCAUAUGCACAACACCUUGAAGCCUUCCUUCAGCAAUGCGGACGAUACACACAACCUUCAACACUUCAGAGAGAAUCCUCCGUGAUGAUGUAUGCUCAAGUAUUUUGGUGUGAGAUGUCAUGAUACCUAUAACUUACUUAUUAAAAA